UCCGUAGGUGAACCUGCGGAAGGAUCAUUAUUGAAUAUGAUUGGUACUGAUGCUGGCUCUUAACUGAGCAUGUGCUCGUCCAUCUAUUUAUCUUCUCUUGUGCACAUUUUGUAGUCUUGAACGUACCUCUCGCAGUCAAAUGCGGUUUGGGAGCUUGGGCGCAAGCCCCUCUCCUGCUUCUUCAAGGCUAUGUUUUCAUAUACACUAUAAAGUUACAGAAUGUCUUUUAACGAUUGCGCUUGUCGUAGUCAUUAAACCUAUACAACUUUCAGCAACGGAUCUCUUGGCUCUCCUAUCGAUGAAGAACGCAGCGAAAUGCGAUAAGUAAUGUGAAUUGCAGAAUUCAGUGAAUCAUCGAAUCUUUGAACGCACCUUGCGCCCUUUGGUAUUCCGAAGGGCAUGCCUGUUUGAGUGUCAUUGAAUUAUCAACCUUGCUCGCUUUUACCGGCUUGAGUUAGGCUUGGACUUGAGGGUUUGCUGGCUUCCUUCAGUGGAUGGUCUGCUCCCUUUAAAUGCAUUAGUGGGAUCUCUUGUGGACCGUCACUUGGUGUGAUAAUUAUCUAUGCCACUUGACCUUGAAGCAAACCUUAUGGGAACCCGCUCAUAACCGUCUUCGGACAACUUUUGACAUUUUGACCUCAAAUCAGGUAGGACUACCCGCUGAACUUAAGCAUAUC
rnacentral:rRNA from 1 species